rnacentral:misc_RNA from 1 species
GAAAUGCGAUACGUAAUGCGAAUUGCAGAAUUCAGUGAAUCAUCAAAUCUUUGAACGCAAAUUGCGCUCUCGGGAUAGGCCUGAGAGCACGCCUCUUUGAGUAUCGAUUCCACCACCUCCAGAACAAACUGAUUUCGAUUGGUUUUGACACUGGGAAUUUGAGUGCUUACGUCGUCAGAUGUGUCACUUGAAGCGGAAUGGAAUCGAGGGUCUGCGAAACUGCUGUUGAAUGUCAGUUAGCUGAAGUGGACUUGAACAUGGAUAAAUUUCCAAUGAUCAAUGAACUUUGGCUUAUUUGAUAUCAGCGAAUACUUAGUUUUGCAAUCAAAAAGCCCUCUCCUAACUAAUAUCUUAACAAAUCUAAGAAUUAGAUCUCAAAUGAAGCGAGACAACCCGCUGA